GAGAGUUCAUUUCCAUCGUGGCGAUUGCUGGAAGAAGACAACGGGACGUCGUCGAACACGGACGAACGGGCCUGACCCUUCGCUGCCUGUGGAAAACAUGCGACCUGCGAGCGUCACCUGGUGCCGGAUGAAAUCACAUGGAGGCCACAAGAUACCAUAUCAAGCAAAUUGUUGAGUAUCGAAUGGCCAAGUAUCGAGUGAAAAUUCAACACUGACUCACUUCACCGGGAAACGCUCUGAAAAUAAUUUAAAAAGUCCUUUCAACCAUUGCUGCUCUGUACACUGACCCCUUCACCAGGAAUCGCUCUGAAAAUAAUUUAAAAAGUCCUUUCAAAUACUGCUGCUCUGUACACUGACCCCUUCACCAGGAAUCGCUCUGAAAAUAAUUUAAAAAGUCCUUCCAACUACUGCUGUUCUGCACACUGACCCCUUCACCAGGAAUCGCUCUGAAAAUAAUUUAAAAAGUCCUUUCAACUACUGCUGUUCUGCACACUGACCCUUUCACCAGGAAUCGCUCUGAAAAUAAUUUAAAAAGUCCUUUCAACUACUUUGGCUCUGCACUUUGACUCCUUCACCAGGAAUCCUUCCUGAAACAUUUUACCAAGUCCUUUCAACCACUGCUACUCUGCACACAGACCCCUUCACCAAGAAUCUUUCCAGAAACAUUUUACCAGAUCUUCUCGAUCCAACUAUUACUGAAGCCUCAAAUUCAGGAGCUUCCAAGCUCCUGAACACUCAUUCAUGUGAAUGGCUCGCAAGUGGUUUUUUUUCAAUGACUGUCUAUAAUUAUGCAUGAUUAACUUAACUCUUAUUAACUCAAUAACAUGACUAACCUAACUAACUUAAUUAUGCAGUUAUUAUAAAAACCACUUGUUGAGAUUUACUAUGAAGGUCUUAAUGGGGUUACGUGGAAGACACCGCUCCAUGAUUAAUCAGGGUAAACAACUUCAAGCCAAGUGCUCUUCAACGCUCAAGUUGCUCAUGAGUGAGAACAAUCAUUUGAUCUACUAAUUAUGCUGUCCGUCCGUCCGUCCGUCCGUCCGUCCGUCUCUUCACCAGAGAAGAUGC